CCCACACGUAUGUGUGUAGGACCCCAAAGGAUCACCAUUAAAUUUGGUACAGAUCUCUAGAAAAGUUAUCACAUGGGUGUGAGAUUUGACGUUUUUAGAUAUAUGUGCCAAAUUUAAUGGUGAUCUUUUGGGGUCCUACACACAUGGGUGUUGG
rnacentral:pre_miRNA from 1 species